rnacentral:rRNA from 1 species
UACGUAGGGGGCAAGCGUUGUCCGGAAUCAUUGGGCGUAAAGCGCGUGUAGGCGGCCCGGUAAGUCCGCUGUGAAAGUCCAGGGCUCAACCCUGGAAUGCCGGUGGAUACUGUCGGGCUCGAGUCCGGAAGAGGCGAGUGGAAUUCCUGGUGUAGCGGUGAAAUGCGCAGAUAUCAGGAGGAACACCGAUGGCGAAGGCAGCUCGCUGGGACGGUACUGACGCUGAGACGCGAAAGCGUGGGGAGCAAACGGG